GACCACCAGCUGAUCGAUUCAAAGCAGCUGAAACUUCCUGCCUGACAGAGCGUUGUAGCUCCAGUUGCAUAUCCAUGCAGGAUUCUAACAUUCUUUGCAUGUGGUUCAUGCCUUGCUGCAGUCUUGCCAUGUCUGCUCUAAGUUCAUUAAUCAUUUCCCACUCAAGUUCAGAACGAUGCACUGCGUGACGUGGCCAACUUGAGUGAUGCAAAUCCUGAUGCCAAAGUGGCUGGGGUGGUGGCACAGGAGGAGAGGGUAGUACAAUUGAAGGCCGCCCAACUCCAUCCUGCUGAUCAUCAUUUUGGUCAUCAUUAUGCUGGUCUGGACCCAUUUCAGGUGAAACAGGAAUAGGCAAGUUCCGAUGCAGAUCCCAAUCAAUAGGAGAGCGCCCUUGCCUUUCCACAUAUGACUGAAUUAAUUGAUCUAAACUUUCACGGAAACCACUGCGAAGAAGGUUGGAAACACUCCUCCUGCUAAGAAGCUCUCUAAGUUCCAUACUGUACACAUUAUCAUCAUCAGGUGGGUGGAAUCUACUAACUCUCCUUAUCGGGACAGGACGCCGCAUUCGUGGAGGAUCAGAAGGUCCUGCUGACCAAGACUCCACAGCUUCUCGUGAGGCAUCCUCAUGCCAAACCUCCUGGUUUUCUGGGAAACGAUGUUCUGCUCUCCCCACAUAUGCUGUUGUUUCAAGGGACCUACCAGUUGAUGGAUUUUCUUGCCAAUUCCUGCUUACAUUCUCUGUGGUCUCAUCAGUCCAUACAUUAGAAUCAUUUGAUGUUAAAUUACGUUGUUGUAUUGCUUCCUCAGCUUCAACAACAGCUUCCACUCGAUCCCUUCCUUGAUUAGGAGGAGGUUGUUGAUUCAUACUCUGACCAGAAUUCUCACUGCGAUCAGGCAACUGAUGCACAGUGCUCUCCAGCUCGCUGGUCUGCAUUUGUUCACCAUUUUCGUCCUCGACUUCUUGACCACGCACAAUGUUUUCUAAUCUGGAGCGGAAUCCUUCCCUCAGCCCUGAGACGGUGUUACGUUGUCUUAGCUGAACUAGUUCACUUGCUGCUAUUGAAGGUGGUCUCUCUUCCUCAGCAGGCCUUUCAUGCAAAAAUCUUCCUCUGAGAAGUGACUGAAUCCGAUUGCGAUGGGCAAAAUCAGAUACUGCACGAUGCUCCAGCAGACCCUGAAGUUCCCUCUGCCUUUCCCUUUCAAUUCUCAUAAGCAAAUCAAGUAGAGCCUGCCUCCCACGCAACCUCAACAUAUCCCUACGAAUGUGCUCUGGUUGGGCUUCCUCAUGGUCCACAACAGACCCUUCACGAGCACGAUCUCCUUGAGAACUAAGCCUAGUGGACUGUUCCUCCCUCUGGCUACCACGAGCUCCUCUCUGUUGACUAGUCAUUUGAACCCAUUCCCGCACAAUUCUCACCCUUUCACGUUCU
rnacentral:misc_RNA from 1 species